UCGAGGAUCUUCGGUAAUGAGCGCAAGCUUGACCGAGCGACGCCGCGUGAGCGAUGAAGGCCUUCGGGUUGUAAAGCUCUUUAGUGGGGGAGAAAAGCCCGCAAGGGUGUGAUCUAUCCCAAAAAUAAGCACGGGCUAAGUUCGUGCCAGCAGCCGCGGUAAGACGAACCGUGCGAACGUUGUUCGGAAUCACUGGGCUUAAAGGGAGCGUAGGCGGGCUAACAAGUCUGGGGUGAAAUGCCGCGGCUCAACCGUGGAACUGCCUCAGAUACUGUCGGCCUCGAGGGAGAUAGGGGCAUGCGGAACUAACGGUGGAGCGGUGAAAUGCGUUGAUAUCGUUAGGAACUCCGGUGGCGAAAGCGGCGUGCUGGAUCUCUUCUGACGCUGAGGCUCGAAAGCUAGGGGAGCAAACGG
rnacentral:rRNA from 1 species